rnacentral:misc_RNA from 1 species
GAUGAAGAACGUAGCGAAAUGCGAUAAGUAAUGUGAAUUGCAGAGUUCAGUGAAUCAUCGAAUCUUUGAACGCACAUUGCGCCCGCCAGUAUUCUGGCGGGCAUGCCUGUUCGAGCGUCAUUACAACCCUCAGGCCCCCGGGCCUGGCGUUGGGGAUCGGCAGAAGCCCCCUGUGGGCACACGCCGUCCCUCAAAUACAGUGGCGGUCCCGCCGCAGCUUCCAUUGCGUAGUAGCUAACACCUCGCAACUGGAGNGCGGCGCGGCCAUGCCGUAAAACACCCAACUUCUGAAUGUUGACCUCGAAUCAGGUAGGAAUACCCGCUGAACUUAAGCAUAUCAAUAAGCGGAGGA